rnacentral:rRNA from 1 species
ACUGUGUGUUGUUGGGUAGGGGAGCGUUCUGUAAGCCUGUGAAGGUGGCCUGUGAGGGUUGCUGGAGGUAUCAGAAGUGCGAAUGCUGACAUAAGUAACGAUAAAGCGGGUGAAAAGCCCGCUCGCCGGAAGACCAAGGGUUCCUGUCCAACGUUAAUCGGGGCAGGGUGAGUCGACCCCUAAGGCGAGGCCGAAAGGCGUAGUCGAUGGGAAACGGGUUAAUAUUCCCGUACUUGGUGUUACUGCGAAGGGGGGACGGAGAAGGCUAUGUUGGCCGGGCGACGGUUGUCCCGGUUUAAGCGUGUAGGUGUGUGUUCCAGGUAAAUCCGGUUCACUUUAACACUGAGGCGUGAUGACGAGGCACUACGGUGCUGAAGCAACAAAUGCCCUGCUUCCAGGAAAAGCCUCUAAGCAUCAGGUAACAUCAAAUCGUACCCCAAACCGACACAGGUGGUCAGGUAGAGAAUACCAAGGCGCUUGAGAGAACUCGGGUGAAGGAACUAGGCAAAAUGGUGCCGUAACUUCGGGAGAAGGCACGCUGACACGUAGGUGAAGUGAUUUACUCAUGGAGCUGAAGUCAGUCGAAGAUACCAGCUGGCUGCAACUGUUUAUUAAAAACACAGCACUGUGCAAACACGAAAGUGGACGUAUACGGUGUGACGCCUGCCCGGUGCCGGAAGGUUAAUUGAUGGGGUCAGCGCAAGCGAAGCUCCUGAUCGAAGCCCCGGUAAACGGCGGCCGUAACUAUAACGGUCCUAAGGUAGCGAAAUUCCUUGUCGGGUAAGUUCCGACCUGCACGAAUGGCGUAAUGAUGGCCAGGCUGUCUCCACCCGAGACUCAGUGAAAUUGAACUCGCUGUGAAGAUGCAGUGUACCCGCGGCAAGACGGAAAGACCCCGUGAACCUUUACUAUAGCUUGACACUGAACAUUGAGCCUUGAUGUGUAGGAUAGGUGGGAGGCUUUGAAGUGUGGACGCCAGUCUGCAUGGAGCCGACCUUGAAAUACCACCCUUUAAUGUUUGAUGUUCUAACGUGGACCCGUGAUCCGGGUUGCGGACAGUGUCUGGUGGGUAGUUUGACUGGGGCGGUCUCCUCCUAAAGAGUAACGGAGGAGCACGAAGGUUGGCUAAUCCUGGUCGGACAUCAGGAGGUUAGUGCAAUGGCAUAAGCCAGCUUGACUGCGAGCGUGACGGCGCGAGCAGGUGCGAAAGCAGGUCAUAGUGAUCCGGUGGUUCUGAAUGGAAGGGCCAUCGCUCAACGGAUAAAAGGUACUCCGGGGAUAACAGGCUGAUACCGCCCAAGAGUUCAUAUCGACGGCGGUGUUUGGCACCUCGAUGUCGGCUCAUCACAUCCUGGGGCUGAAGUAGGUCCCAAGGGUAUGGCUGUUCGCCAUUUAAAGUGGUACGCGAGCUGGGUUUAGAACGUCGUGAGACAGUUCGGUCCCUAUCUGCCGUGGGCGCUGGAGAACUGAGGGGGGCUGCUCCUAGUACGAGAGGACCGGAGUGGACGCAUCACUGGUGUUCGGGUUGUCAUGCCAAUGGCACUGCCCGGUAGCUAAAUGCGGAAGAGAUAAGUGCUGAAAGCAUCUAAGCACGAAACUUGCCCCGAGAUGAGUUCUCCCUGAGACUUUAAGUCUCCUGAAGGAACGUUGAAGACGACGACGUUGAUAGGCCGGGUGUGUAAGCGCAGCGAUGCGUUGAGCUAACCGGUACUAAUGAACCGUGAGGCUUAACCUU